AGGGUAAUAGCUCAGUGGUAGAGCAUAUGCUUAGCACACCUGAGGUCCUGGGUUCUAUUCCCAGUACCUCCA
rnacentral:tRNA from 1 species